UGUGUUCCCCAUCGGCAGAUGGACCGCUGCUGUGCCACUCGAGAGCCAUACUCAGCUUCGGUGUAAACUUCAGGUGUGAAGAACCCAAGACUGGAGACACAGGUCCAAAGAAUCAGAUGGGAAAAGUUUACUGCCGCAAGGGCUGUUAUGCCCAGAUGGUCAUUAAUCCCAUGUGGCAAGGUCAUUCUUACUACACUUUAGGUGCGGAAAAGAGCAGGCCUGCCAUUAAGUUGCACCCAUGGAGGGCUGUAGCAGAAGGUUUAAUGCCCCUCAGCACCAAGGAGCUCUGCAAAGAAUGGCACUACCCCCAACACAGGCACAACCAAGCCCUCAGUCUGGAAUAACACCAUGGAAGACAAUUGGAGUCACAUGGGCAUACAACUGCUGCAAACAAGAGAAGAAUCAGCCCCCAAAUUACCCAGGUUGCUGAAGAAUGGAAAAGGUCUUCACUUAGACACGAAUGAAUUGCUAGUCUGGCUUGAGAACUUCCACUGGCAAUCAUUCUAAAGCCUAUUCAUUGGACACAUCUCUGUUAAGACUUCUGGCUCCAAGUCUGCAGUCCAACUCCUCAUUCCUGGAAAUCAGAGCGGGGGGAUCCCCCUUGCGUACUAUUAUUAUCUGUAUUAAGUAGCACCUGAUCAAGAUUGGCACCUUGCUGUUCUCAGCACUGUACAAACAAAUGAGAAAAAAGAAAGUGUCUGACACAAAUAGCUCACAGUCUGUAUGCAGUCAUUUAAGCAGGAAUGUCCCAAACAUUGCCUCUAUCCCACACCUUCCUUUAGCAGUCAGCAGUCACAUCUCAAAACUAUUGCAUUUAAAUGUCACAGUGCAAAAUCCAUACCAUUGAUUUGCAAGAACAAUGGUGUUCCAAUGCGGAGAAACUCAUUUUUUUCCAGAUAGUGCUUCAUUUCAAAGUUCAUAUGAAUUGAUAUGAAAUCAACACUGGACUUUGCUAUAGAACAACUGCUUUUAAAAGGGCAAUGGUACAAGAAGGUGUAUUGCAGAGAUGGGUUUGGCUCUUCAUAGAAUGUGUAGUGCUUUGCUUUGUUCAUAGCCAUGAAGACUGUUAUUCAUAGAAUCCCACUUUGAAGAAAAGGUGCUUGGCUAGCAUGUUCCCAGAUUGUUUUUACAGCUUAGUGUUGUGCACCUGUUUCCCAGUCAAGGAAAGAAAGGGCGUGACUCUCCUCUCGCUUACACCAGUAUAGAUCAGGAGUAACUUCACUGCAGUUAAUGGAAUAAAAUCAUUGUUAGGUGAGAGAAGGAUCUAACCCAGGAAGACAGAAUUUGUCAUCUUGAAAUUCUGCUCUGCUGGUGCUGCUGCUGCUGCUACAGGUCUCUUGUAGAAACCUCUCAGCAGCAUGUAAUUUAAAUCCAAUUGGACUUAAGUAUGGACUAAUAAAAAAUUCUCUACUUCCUUACCUAUCGUGGCAUAAGCCCAAGCUGCAUUCUGUCAUGGGUCCCUACAGCAUUUACAGUAAAUGGAUGGGCAAAAACUCCCCACACAAACUUGCAAGAUAUUAUAUUAAAAAG